AACGAACGCUGGCGGCGUGGAUAAGACAUGCAAGUCGAACGAGAGAAUUGCUAGCUUGCUAAUAAUUCUCUAGUGGCGCACGGGUGAGUAACACGUGAGUAACCUGCCCCCGAGAGCGGGAUAGCCCUGGGAAACUGGGAUUAAUACCGCAUAGUAUCGAAAGAUUAAAGCAGCAAUGCGCUUGGGGAUGGGCUCGCGGCCUAUUAGUUAGUUGGUGAGGUAACGGCUCACCAAGGCGAUGACGGGUAGCCGGUCUGAGAGGAUGUCCGGCCACACUGGAACUGAGACACGGUCCAGACACCUACGGGUGGCAGCAGUCGAGAAUCAUUCACAAUGGGGGAAACCCUGAUGGUGCGACGCCGCGUGGGGGAAUGAAGGUCUUCGGAUUGUAAACCCCUGUCAUGUGGGAGCAAAUUAAAAAGAUAGUACCACAAGAGGAAGAGACGGCUAACUCUGUGCCAGCAGCCGCGGUAAUACAGAGGUCUCAAGCGUUGUUCGGAAUCACUGGGCGUAAAGCGUGCGUAGGCUGUUUCGUAAGUCGUGUGUGAAAGGCGCGGGCUCAACCCGCGGACGGCACAUGAUACUGCGAGACUAGAGUAAUGGAGGGGGAACCGGAAUUCUCGGUGUAGCAGUGAAAUGCGUAGAUAUCGAGAGGAACACUCGUGGCGAAGGCGGGUUCCUGGACAUUAACUGACGCUGAGGCACGAAGGCCAGGGGAGCGAAAAAGAUUAGAUACCCCUGUAGUCCUGGCAGUAAACGGUG
rnacentral:rRNA from 1 species